GCGUCACAGCUGAGCGCGCACGUGCACGUCCAAACAUGCACUCGGCGUCUCAUCCUUCGCGAGGGCGCGAUACGUCACCGCAACCCGGAAAUGAAGGGCAAUGACGGUGAGGUGGGAGGAUGGAGGAGUUCCAUUAUCGGACAGGAAGUGCGGGGGGAAAAUGUGAUCACAAAAAAAGAGAGAAGAGUUUCCUGUGUACGUGCACGCCGGCGUGCGUCGCACUUCAGGUAGCCUUGCCGAGGCACGCCGAGGGUGGAGCUACAUGCUGCCAAUCACAGUGCAGUCUUUGGAAGUGGGAGGAAGCCGGAGUACCCGGAGGGAACCCACGCAUUCACGGGGAGAACAUGCAAACUCCACACAGAAAGAUCCCGAGCCUGGAUUUGAACCCAGGUCUGCAGGACCUUCGUAUUGUGAGGCAGACGCACUAAUAUAAAUAAACAAAAUGUAUAAUGCACAUGUUUUUUAACUAUGUUAUCAAUGCAAUUAAAAUGUAAAUAAAAAUACAGCUUCACCACUUUAGUUAUAAUUUUUGCGCUUUAAAAACUUUGAGGACUUUAGCUCCAAACAUCUUGUGUUUGUUUGAGAUUGCCGUUACACUGCAAAAAAUAACUGACAAAAUGUAAGAUAAAAAGACCGGAUUUUUGAACAAAAUACUAAAAACUAGUGAAAUUAUUGUUAGUUUUACUAGAUAAAACAUCCUAAGUUAAGAUUGAAUUAGCAUGACUUAAGAUAGAAAUAAGUAUUUUAUUAUUAAAACAAGCAUUAUUCAACUUGCAGUUUUUAUAUAUUGAAUCUUUACACAUUAUUUUCCAUGUAGGGAAAAACAAAUCUUAUUUAAAUAGUUUUUUUUUUUUCCAUUUUAACAUUUGUAAACUACAAUAGACAAAAUAUAUUUAGUCAUGCUAAAACUAAGAUUAAGAUGUAAAGUCAACGACUAAAGAUAAGGAAAGAGCUUUAAAAACUAGGGAAAUUUAUAGAAAUAAAAUGUCGGCCGGUGGCAAAUAACUUGGACUGUACUGCCACGAAUUGUGGGAAAGUAUAUUACAACUGACCAUACGGCCCACAACUGAGAAUAAUAUUUUUUGGCAGACCUCCGGAGGGCGCUCGCGACCCAACAAUAUAGGUUAAGAAAGACUGACCGAAGCUGUAUUUUUGUUUGCGCAAUGGCACCAUCUCUUGGACUACUUUGCUCACUGCAGGUGGAGCUGGGUAAAAGCUUUGAACCGAAAUUAGAAUUGUUAUUCUGUCUUCUAAUCAUCCAUAGCGUUUCUACUCGUAUGGAUUCUUCUUUCACCACUCCAAGCAACGUUUGUAAGUUUUACAAUACAACUAAAACUAUUCACACUUACUAAACCGUCCCAUGUGGGAUGUCUGUAGGAGAGUUUUCAUGCAUGUUUUUAUGUGCUAUUGUAAUGUAAUGAAACUAGCAUCGUUAGUAGCAGCUAAUAUGUCAACACAUGUAUCUGUGUUUGUUUUUUUUCCAGUUUUACAAAGUAAAUUCACCAAAACGUCACCGUGGCGUUAUUGGGUCUGAUUAGCAGAUUGGAGUGGGUCCAUGACGAUGACUUCUGUUUUGUUUGAUCAGCCGUUUUACUGCAGUGUUAAACGGAAACAAUUAAGGUAUUUAAAAAAAUAAUUAAAGAAUUGUACUGUGUAAAUAACUCAUUUCACAGCGUAUAUAUCUGCGGCUUAUAGUCUAUCCAUCCAUCCAUCCAUCCAUCUUCUUCCGCUUAUCCGAGGUCGGGUCACGGGGGCAACAGCCUAAGCAGGGAAACCCAGACUUCCCUCCCUCCAGCCACUUCGUCUGGCUCUUCGCGGGGGAUCCCGAGGCGUUCCCAGCCCAGCCGGGAGACAUAGUCUUCCCAACGUGUCCUGGGUAUUCCCUGUGGCCUCCUACCGGUUGGACGUGCCCUAAACACCUCCCUAGGGAGGCGUUCGGGUGGCAUCCUGACCAGAUGCCCGAACCACCUCAUCUGGCUCCUCUCGAUGUGAAGGAGCAGCGGCUUUGAGUUCCUCCCGGAUG